rnacentral:rRNA from 1 species
UACGGAGGGUGCGAGCGUUGUCCGGAAUCAUUGGGCGUAAAGGGCGCGUAGGUGGCCCGGUCAGUUCGUGGUGAAAGCGCGGGGCUCAACCCUGCGUCGGCCAUGAAUACUGCCGCGGCUGGAGCACUGUAGAGGCAGGCGGAAUUCCGGGUGUAGCGGUGGAAUGCGUAGAGAUCCGGAAGAACACCGGUGGCGAAGGCGGCCUGCUGGGCAGG